GCGCGAGUCCUCCGGGGCUCGGUUGCUUGGUGAUUCAUGAUAACUUCUCGAACCGUAUGGCCCCCGUGCUGACGGUGCUUCAUUCAAAUUUCUGCCCUAUCAACUUUCGAUGGUACGGUAGUGGCCUACCAUGGUUGCAACGGGUGACGGAGAAUUAGGGUUCGAUUCCGGAGAGGGAGCCUGAGAAACGGCUACCACAUCCAAGGAAGGCAGCAGGCGCGCAAAUUACCCAAUCCCGACUCGGGGAGGUAGUGACAAUAAAUAACAAUGCCGGGCUAUCAUAGUCUGGCAAUUGGAAUGAGUACAAUCUAAACCCCUUAACGAGGAACAAUUGGAGGGCAAGUCUGGUGCCAGCAGCCGCGGUAAUUCCAGCUCCAAUAGCGUAUAUUAAAGUUGUUGCAGUUAAAAAGCUCGUAGUUGGAUUUCGGGGCAGCCUGGCCGGUCCGCCGCAAGGUGAGCACUGGUCAGCCGCCCUUCCUCUCGAAAGCCCCGACUGCUCUUCGUUGCAGUGGUCGGGUAGUUCGGGACGUUUACUUUGAAAAAAUUAGAGUGUUCAAGGCAGGCUGUCGCCUGAAUACAUUAGCAUGGAAUAAUGGAAGAGGACCUCGGUCCUAUUUUGUUGGUUUCUAGGGCCGAAGUAAUGAUUAAGAGGGACAGUUGGGGGCAUUCGUAUUUAAUUGUCAGAGGUGAAAUUCUCGGAUUUAUGAAAGACGAACAACUGCGAAAGCAUUUGCCAAGGAUGUUUUCAUUAAUCAAGAACGAAAGUUAGGGGUUCGAAGACGAUCAGAUACCGUCGUAGUCCUAACCAUAAACUAUGCCGACUAGGGAUCGGUGGAUGUUAAUGUUUGACUCCAUCGGCACCUUAUGAGAAAUCAAAGUCUUUGGGUUCCGGGGGGAGUAUGGUC
rnacentral:rRNA from 1 species